UUGGGUUGCUAAUAGGAACAGUCCGCUCACUGAUUCAAAUGGUACUCUGGAAAUAAGCUAUGAAGGUGAACUUGUUCUUUUAAAUCAAUCAAAGAGUGUCGUUUGGUCGACAAAUUCAACCAAGGUUCUUGGAAACCCAGUUGCACAUCUCCUAGAUUCUGGAAACCUUGUUCUUAGGGAACAUAAUAGUUUAGAUUCCACUGACUACUCAUGGCAGAGCUUUGAUUACCCAUCAGACACGAUUUUGGUUGGUAUGAUAUUGGGAUGGAACUUUAGAACCGGUUUGGAACAUUAUGUGACUUCUCGGAGAAGCGCAGACGAUCCUUCCCUUGGAGACUAUACAGGCAAAUACAAAAUCGAUGGUUUACCUCAACUUGAAAUAGUCUGCAAUGGUUCCGUCAAAGUUUAUCGAUCUGCGCCAUGGAAUGGAGUUUACAUCAACGAUAUGUCCAAGGUGUCGACUCCUGUUGCUAGAUCCAUCUUUGUUCACAAUGAAACAGCUGCCUAUUUUGCAAUUGAAAAUCUUAUAGACGAUAUCACUAUCAGAAUCACAUUAAGCCCCGAUGGUGUUUCACAAGCUUUUUUACUGAAGAGUGGAAGCACGAAGUGGGAUAUGAUUGAAUCUCUCCCUUACGACCCUUGUGACAACUAUGGAUACUGCGGCGCUAAUGGGGUGUGCCGAGUUAACCAAAGCCCAAGAUGCCUCUGUUUGCAGGGUUUUAUGCCCAAGUCGCAAGCAGAGUGGGACAUGUUCAAUCAGGCAAGAGGGUGCAUAAGGAAAGUCCCAUUGAAUUGUUCUCGUGGAGAGGGUUUUACGAGACUUUCACAGGUUAAAUUACCUGACCUGAUAGAUUUCCAGCUAUUCAAGAAUAUGAGCCUUAAGGAGUGUAAGGUUGAGUGUCUAAAGAAUUGUUCUUGCAUGGCUUAAGCUAAUUCGGAUAUUAGAGGACCAGGCUGCUUGUUGUGGUUUGGCAAUCUCAUUGAUAUUAGGGAUAUUAACGAUGAUGGUUCUCACCAAUAUCUCUUCCUACGGCUACCUGCUUCUGAAUUAGAUUCAUCGCGUAGUCUAUCCAAGAAAUUGGUGACUAUCACUGUGGCUUCAGCCAUUUCGGGAUUGCUUAUUGUGGGCACGGCAUUAAGCAUAAUUUGGAAAAGAAGAAUGAAAAGCCAAGGCUUGCCAAGUGGGAUGGAUGGCAUUGACUUGCCAUUAUAUGAUUUUGCUACCGUUUCUGUUGUUCUAACCAUUUCUCUCAAACAAACAAGCUAGGAGAAGGUGGCUUCGGUUCGGUCUAUAAGGGAACUCUUUCCACAGGACAAGAAGUAGCAAUAAAAAGGCUUUCAAAGUA